UACGGAGGGUGCAAGCGUUAUCCGGAUUUACUGGGUUUAAAGGGUGCGUAGGUGGGUAGGUAAGUCCGUGGUGAAAUCCUGCAGCUUAACUGCAGAACUGCCUUGGAUACUAUCUAUCUUGAAUAUCGUGGAGGUUAGCGGAAUAUGUCAUGUAGCGGUGAAAUGCUUAGAUAUGACAUAGAACACCUAUUGCGAAGGCAGCUAACUACGCGAUGAUUGACACUCAGGCACGAAAGCGUGGGGAUCAAAC
rnacentral:rRNA from 1 species